UGGAUCCAGACUUUGAUUAUGGCUCAGGAUGAACGCUAGCUACAGGCUUAACACAUGCAAGUCGAGGGGCAGCAUGUCGGUAGCUUGCUACCGAUGAUGGCGACCGGCGCACGGGUGAGUAACGCGUAUCCAACCUGCCAUUGUCCCGCGCAUAACCCGGUGAAAACCGGACUAAUUCGCGAUGUAUCCCGUUGAGGCAUCGAUUCGGGAUGAAAGACUUGUCGGACAGUGAUGGGGAUGCGUCUGAUUAGCUUGCCGGCGGGGUAACGGCCCACCGGGGCGACGAUCAGUAGGGGUUCUGAGAGGAAGGUCCCCCACAUUGGAACUGAGACACGGUCCAAACUCCUACGGGAGGCAGCAGUGAGGAAUAUUGGUCAAUGGGCGGGAGCCUGAACCAGCCAAGUAGCGUGCAGGAUGACGGCCCUACGGGUUGUAAACUGCUUUUUAUGCGGGGAUAAAGUGGCGCACGUGUGCGUUUUUGCAGGUACCGCAUGAAUAAGGACCGGCUAAUUCCGUGCCAGCAGCCGCGGUAAUACGGAAGGUCCGGGCGUUAUCCGGAUUUAUUGGGUUUAAAGGGAGCGUAGGCCGCCGAUUAAGCGUGUUGUGAAAUGCCGUGGCUCAACCAUGGCACUGCAGCGCGAACUGGUUGGCUUGAGUGCGCGGAAGGCAGGCGGAAUUCGUGGUGUAGCGGUGAAAUGCUUAGAUAUCACGAAGAACCCCGAUUGCGAAGGCAGCUUGCCGCAGCGCUACUGACGCUGAAGCUCGAAGGUGCGGGUAUCGAACAGGAUUAGAUACCCUGGUAGUCCGCACGGUAAACGAUGGAUGCCCGCUGUGUGCCAUUAUGGUACGCGGCCAAGCGAAAGCGUUAAGCAUCCCACCUGGGGAGUACGCCGGCAACGGUGCAACUCAAAUGAAUUGACGGA
rnacentral:rRNA from 1 species